rnacentral:lncRNA from 1 species
CACCGAUAAGAGUCAAAAUUUUGCAAAAACUCCCAAAAAAGUUGCUUGAAAAGAAUCCGGAGACGUAAAAAUUCCCCAGAAUGGUUGUAUAAAUGGGCAAAUAAAUUAAAAGUGGCGGAAGAAUAUAUUUUUAUUUACACGCCGGUUUAGCAGCACGCGCAAGCCUUCUCGCUGCCUAAAGUGUUGGGUGAUAGGGAGAAUUGUUCGUUAUGCCGCCUACCGCUAAUUCCACACUGUUCCAGUAAAAAAAAGAUAUAACUUUGUACCAACCUCGGUGAAGGGAGGCGGACAUGAGAAACACAAGCUGUAGUUAUUAAACUAUUUACUUGAAAAUAAUCACAUCAAAAGUCCGAAUCUCUGUUAUAAAGAAUGCUCGCAUGUAGUCUCAGCUACCGUGACGGACUUUGAUGCAGAGCAGCCUAGCGACGAAAUGCCGAGGAAGCCGAUGUUGUAAUGAAAACAGAACACUUCAUGUGAAGGAACCUUAGAAAAGAUUGUAGAAAACUGGAAAUAUGUUAAAAAUUCGAAAUGUUUGGCGGGUUAAACCACCUUCGCGCGAUGUCUGUCUUUGUGAUUUCUGAGGACUUCGAGUCAACACAUUUUGAACCACCUGCACAUUUUCCUCCGGGAGCCUGCGUUUAUUAGUUUCGCAUGGCAAUUCCUUAUGGUCUUAGCAUCUACAGAGGCAUUACGUCUUUUUACAUCUCGCCACCAUCUCUGAACUUAUACUACAGACUGCCAUAUUUCGUACCAAGAUGCUAGCUGAGUCCACUUAGGCAAGCUUAGACGUUGCAGCAUGUGGUUCGCCACUGAUACCUGCAGUGAUAUAUAAAUAAAAUAUCAUGUAAUAAAUUUCUGUAUUGUGAGGACCAAAAUGCUUUCUGCUUCAUGAAAAUUAGUUAAAUAUUAAAAACGUUAUAAACAAUUUUCAAUGGUGAUUUAA